UACGUAGGUGACCAGCGUUGUCCGGAUUUACUGGGCGUAAAGAGCGCGCAGGCGGUCGUUCAAGUCGAGUGUGAAAGCCCCCGGCUCAACUGGGGAGGGUCACUCGAUACUGAUCGACUUGAAGGCAGGAGAGGGAAGCGGAAUUCCCGGUGUAGUGGUGAAAUGCGUAGAUAUCGUAAGGAAGACCAGUGGCGAAGGCGGGUCUCUGGACAGUUCCUGACGCUGAGGCACGAAGGUCAGGGGAGCAAACGGG
rnacentral:rRNA from 1 species